rnacentral:rRNA from 1 species
GAUGAACGCUGGCGGCGUGCCUAAUACAUGCAAGUCGAGCGAACGGACGAUAAGCUUGCUUCUCUGAUGUUAGCGGCGGACGGGUGAGUAACACGUGGAUAACCUACCUAUAAGACUGGGAUAAUUUCGGGAAACCGGAGCUAAUACCGGAUAAUAUUUUGAACCGCAUGGUUCAAAAGUGAAAGACGGUCUUGCUGUCACUUAUAGAUGGAUCCGCGCUGCAUUAGCUAGUUGGUAAGGUAACGGCUUACCAAGGCAACGAUGCAUAGCCGACCUGAGAGGGUGAUCGGCCACACUAGAACUGAGACACGGUCCAGACUACUACGAGAGGCAGCAGUAGGGAAUCUUACGCAAUGGGCGAAAGCCUGACGGAGCAACGCCGCGUGAGUGAUGAAGGUCUUCGGAUCGUAAAACUCUGUUAUUAGGGAAGAACAUAUGUGUAAGUAACUGUGCACAUCUUGACGGUACCUAAUCAGAAAGCCACGGCUAACUACGUG